GUCAAGGACUGCACCAAUGUCUAGGCCAAACUAACCCUUCCGUUGAGAAUGGAGGAAACUUGCAGCUUGCGCAGCUCCUCGAGAACAUGCUGAGCAUCAGGAGGAUCAGACUGACGAAGCUCCUCUAAGAUCAUCUGCAGAUUAACAAGUACUUUUCAGUAAUCUUACCAGUGCCCGCAAACCCAUUGUCAGCCUGGCCUGAUGUCUGUAAUGGAGCAACCCAGGUACAGUCUCACAGAGUGAUGUUACGAUCUCCUCCAGUUUCCCAUAAUACACCACCUCCCUCUUCACCAUCACCUUCCACAUGGCUGCAGACAUUAGCCGCAGUGGUGGAGCUAUAAGCUGCAGAGCUGACAGGGGUAGAGGUGUAUCUGUUGAAAAAAGAUCUCAAUUAAAACAAGCAAACUGUA